GAUGAACGCUAGCGACAGGCCUAACACAUGCAAGUCGAGGGGCAGCAUUUAAUAAGCUUGCUUAUUAAGAUGGCGACCGGCGCACGGGUGAGUAACACGUAUGUAAUCUGCCUGUAACAGGGGGAUAACCCGGAGAAAUUCGGACUAAUACCCCAUAAUAUCCAAAUGUUGCAUGAAAUUUCGAUUAAAGGAUUUCCGGUUACAGAUGAGCAUGCGUAUCAUUAGCUAGUUGGUAGAGUCACGGCCUACCAAGGCAACGAUGAUUAGGGGUUCUGAGAGGAAGAUCCCCCACACUGGUUCUGAGACACGGACCAGACUCCUACGGGAGGCAGCAGUGAGGAAUAUUGGUCAAUGGACGGAAGUCUGAACCAGCCAAGUCGCGUGAAGGAUGACGGCCCUUAGGGUUGUAAACUUCUUUUAUUUGAGAGUAAAAGAUCUUACGUGUAAGAUUUUGCAAGUAUCAAAAGAAUAAGCAUCGGCUAAUUCCGUGCCAGCCGCCGCGGUAAAAC
rnacentral:rRNA from 1 species